GGAGAGUGAAGGGUGCCUGGUGGCCCUCGCGGUCUUCAAAACCGUUGUCGGCCCGUUCUGCGGGUCGGGGUAGGUUCGAUUCCUAUCCUCUCCG
rnacentral:tRNA from 1 species